rnacentral:lncRNA from 1 species
AGAGAGAGAGAGAGAGAGAGAGAGAGAGAGAGAGAGAGAGAGAGAGAGAGAAGAGAGAGAGAGAGAGAGAGAGAGAGAGAGAGGUUUGAAAAACAUUGAUUUAAAAUCAAAUCAUUUGUAAGAUCAAAGUUUGAAAAUAUUUUAAAACAAAUGAUUGCAUAAGCAACAGAAAAGAUGAUAGAGUAAAGAGAUAAGGGAUAGAGAGAUACACCAG